rnacentral:rRNA from 1 species
UGCAGUCGAGCGGAACGAUCCUAGCUUGCUAGGAGGCGUCGAGCGGCGGACGGGUGAGUAAUGCAUAGGAAUCUGCCCGGUAGUGGGGGAUAACUUGAGGAAACUCAAGCUAAUACCGCAUACCCCCUACGGGGGAAAGCAGGGGCUCUUCGGACCUUGCGCUAUCGGAUGAGCUUAUGUCGGAUUAGCUGGUUGGUGAGGUAACGGCUCACCAAGGCGACGAUCCGUAGCUGGUCUGAGAGGAUGAUCAGCCACAUCGGGACUGAGACACGGCCCGAACUCCUACGGGAGGCAGCAGUGGGGAAUAUUGGACAAUGGGGGCAACCCUGAUCCAGCCAUGCCGCGUGUGUGAAGAAGGCCCUCGGGUUGUAAAGCACUUUCAGCGAGGAAGAAUGCUUGUCGGUUAAUACCCGGCAAGGGAGACAUCACUCGCAAAAGAAGCACCGGCUAACUCCGUGCCAGCAGCCGCGGUAAUACGGAGGGUGCGAGCGUUAAUCGGAAUUACUGGGCGUAAAGCGUGCGUAGGCGGCUUGAUAAGCCGGUUGUGAAAGCCCCGGGCUCAACCUGGGAACGGCAUCCGGAACUGUUAGGCUAGAGUGCAGGAGAGGAAGGUAGAAUUCCCGGUGUAGCGGUGAAAUGCGUAGAGAUCGGGAGGAAUACCAGUGGCGAAGGCGGCCUUCUGGACUGACACUGACGCUNAGGUACGAAAGCGUGGGUAGCAAACAGGAUUAGAUACCCUGGUAGUCCACGCCGUAGACGAUGUCAACUAGCCGUUGGGGUCCUCGAGACCUUUGUGGCGCAGUUAACGCACUAAGUCGACCGCCUGGGGAGUACGGCCGCAAGGUUAAGACUCAUAUGAAUUGACGGGGGCCCGCACAAGCCGUGGACCAUGUGGUUUAAUUCGAUGCAACGCGAAAAACCUUACCUACCCUUGACCUCGUGCGAACUUUCNAAGAUGGAUUGUUGCCUUCGGAAGCGCANAGACGGGUUCUGCAUGGCUUUCGUCACCUCGUGU